rnacentral:rRNA from 1 species
UACGUAGGGGGCGAGCGUUAUCCGGAUUCACUGGGCGUAAAGGGAGCGCAGGCGGCACGGCAAGUCCGGUGUGAAAGCCCGGGGCCCAACCCCGGGACUGCACUGGAAACUGCCGGGCUGGAGUGUCGGAGGGGCAGGCGGAAUUCCUAGUGUAGCGGUGAAAUGCGUAGAUAUUAGGAGGAACACCGGUGGCGAAGGCGGCUCUCUGGCCUGUAACUGACACUGAGGCUCGAAAGCGUGGGGAGCAAACAGG